UACGUAGGAUGCGAGCGUUGUUCGGAUUUAUUGGGCGUAAAGCGUGCGUAGGCGGUUACAAAAGUCUGGUGUUAAAGCUAGGGGCUCAACCCCUGUGAUGCACUGGAAACUAUGUGACUUGAGUGCGGUAGGGGAAGGUGGAAUCCGAGUGUAGCGGUGAAAUGCGUAGAUAUUCGGAAGAACACCGGUGGCGAAGGCGGCUUCCUGGACCGACACUGACGCUGAUGCGCGAAAGCUAGGGGAGCAAACGGG
rnacentral:rRNA from 1 species